rnacentral:snRNA from 1 species
GCGGCGAGAGCGGGUCGCCGCG